AAUGGUAUUAUGAUGCAAGUGGUGGCUGAGGGAGGGACAAGGGAGGAUCCAACGAGCAAACAGACAACAGCUAACACAAACAAAGAUUUUCUCCGUGGAUGUUUAAGUGCUUCCUUUUCAAUUUAUGAAGUGCUCCCAUGUCAACCCUGUCUCCAAGAACGGACGUCUCUUAAUUUUCUAAGGAUUAUUGGCAACCCUUGGGUAAGAUUUGAAAAGAGCCAAACCAGAAAAAGUCUGCAGUCACUCGUAUCUCAAAGGAUUAUCAACUUUUUUAAAAAACAACAGACCUGACUGGAAGUCAAGUCUCCUGACUUUUGUUCCUCUUUGUAACUGUAUGAACCUGACUCACAGCCAGUAAAUGAGGUGUUAACGGAGAAGCAUUAAAUGGAGUGAUGCUGACCAACUGAGCCUACUCGAAGGUGGAGGACGUCCCUGUUGGUUCAUACUGGCCAUUUAAAGAGCUGAUGACAUGCAAAACACAUGAUCUGGAAGAAACGUGGUCAGCCUUGGUACAACAAUGGAAUUGAGAAAACAAUUAUGCUAAAUAUAAUUGGAAUUUUUUCAAGCCGAUGUGGUCUCUGUUCACUGUGGACAUUCACAGCCAUUAAAGCAAGGAUGGAUUUCAUAAAGUAAUGCCUCUAAUGAAAUACAGUUAAGUUGAGCAGCAUACUAAUAUUGCAGAAGUACAGUGUCCUCACUGAAUCAGGAGGGAAAUUAAUAUUUUGCAACCAAACCACAGACAUUAAAGAGUUUACUUAAAAGUCAAGUAGCCAUGUGCUGGCAAAAUAUAGCUUGUAUUUUCUAACCAGGACACAACCAGAAAGGAAUAAAGAGAGGAAAUGAGUGUGCUAUGACUGUGUCUAAUUAUAGAAGAGCAUUAUUGAAUGUCUCAGUGAUGCUGCAGUGUAUACCAAACACAGCCUGGAGUCAAGUCACUUUGUCUGUGAGGCCGGGAUAGAGGCAGACAAAGGACGGGAGGACAGACAUCCACAUGAUGGGGGAGAGCUUUUAAACAACUUAGGACUUAUUCUUCAUCCUACUCCUGUUCUUGUACAUGGGAUGUGCGUAUUCUGUGUUUUAUAAAUUGUAUCCAUUUGUUGAUUUUUUUUUAAACGCAUUACCAUGGAAAAGAAUAAAUGAAAUGAAAUGAAA